GGGUUGUGAGGUUAAGCGACUAAGCGUACACGGUGGAUGCCCUGGCAGUCAGAGGCGAUGAAGGACGUGCUAAUCUGCGAUAAGCGCCGGUAAGGUGAUAUGAACCGUUAUAACCGGCGAUUUCCGAAUGGGGAAACCCAGUGUGAUUCGUCACACUAUCAUUAACUGAAUCCAUAGGUUAAUGAGGCGAACCGGGGGAACUGAAACAUCUAAGUACCCCGAGGAAAAGAAAUCAACCGAGAUUCCCCCAGUAGCGGCGAGCGAACGGGGAGGAGCCCAGAGCCUGAAUCAGCAUGUGUGUUAGUGGAAGCGUCUGGAAAGGCGCGCGAUACAGGGUGACAGCCCCGUACACAAAAGCGCAUGUGCUGUGAGCUCGAUGAGUAGGGCGGGACACGUGGUAUCCUGUCUGAAUAUGGGGGGACCAUCCUCCAAGGCUAAAUACUCCUGACUGACCGAUAGUGAACCAGUACCGUGAGGGAAAGGCGAAAAGAACCCCGGCGAGGGGAGUGAAAAAGAACCUGAAACCGUGUACGUACAAGCAGUGGGAGCACAGGUUUACCUGUGUGACUGCGUACCUUUUGUAUAAUGGGUCAGCGACUUAUAUUCUGUAGCAAGGUUAACCGUAUAGGGGAGCCGGAGGGAAACCGAGUCUUAAUUGGGCGUUAAGUUGCAGGGUAUAGACCCGAAACCCGGUGAUCUAGCCAUGGGCAGGUUGAAGGUUGGGUAACACUAACUGGAGGACCGAACCGACUAAUGUUGAAAAAUUAGCGGAUGACCUGUGGCUGGGGGUGAAAGGCCAAUCAAACCGGGAGAUAGCUGGUUCUCCCCGAAAGCUAUUUAGGUAGCGCCUCGUGAAUUCAUCUCCGGGGGUAGAGCACUGUUUCGGCUAGGGGGCCAUCCCGGCUUACCAACCCGAUGCAAACUGCGAAUACCGGAGAAUGUUAUCACGGGAGACACACGGCGGGUGCUAACGUCCGUCGUGAAGAGGGAAACAACCCAGACCGCCAGCUAAGGUCCCAAAGUCAUGGUUAAGUGGGAAACGAUGUGGGAAGGCCCAGACAGCCAGGAUGUUGGCUUAGAAGCAGCCAUCAUUUAAAGAAAGCGUAAUAGCUCACUGGUCGAGUCGGCCUGCGCGGAAGAUGUAACGGGGCUAAACCAUGCACCGAAGCUGCGGCAGCGAACGUAUCACCCAAGACAACUUUACGGAGUUGACGAUUGACGGAGCGAAGCGACGUCAAAGCGUUCAUUAAAGUCGAGUUGGCUUAGGGAUACGUUCGUUGGGUAGGGGAGCGUUCUGUAAGCCUGUGAAGGUGUGUCGUGAGGCAUGCUGGAGGUAUCAGAAGUGCGAAUGCUGACAUAAGUAACGAUAAAGCGGGUGAAAAGCCCGCUCGCCGGAAGACCAAGGGUUCCUGUCCAACGUUAAUCGGGGCAGGGUGAGUCGACCCCUAAGGCGAGGCCGAAAGGCGUAGUCGAUGGGAAACGGGUUAAUAUUCCCGUACUUGGUGUUACUGCGAAGGGGGGACGGAGAAGGCUAUGUUGGCCGGGCGACGGUUGUCCCGGUUUAAGCGUGUAGGUGUGUGUUCCAGGUAAAUCCGGUUCACUUUAACACUGAGGCGUGAUGACGAGGCACUACGGUGCUGAAGCAACAAAUGCCCUGCUUCCAGGAAAAGCCUCUAAGCAUCAGGUAACAUCAAAUCGUACCCCAAACCGACACAGGUGGUCAGGUAGAGAAUACCAAGGCGCUUGAGAGAACUCGGGUGAAGGAACUAGGCAAAAUGGUGCCGUAACUUCGGGAGAAGGCACGCUGACACGUAGGUGAAGUGAUUUACUCACGGAGCUGAAGUCAGUCGAAGAUACCAGCUGGCUGCAACUGUUUAUUAAAAACACAGCACUGUGCAAACACGAAAGUGGACGUAUACGGUGUGACGCCUGCCCGGUGCCGGAAGGUUAAUUGAUGGGGUCAGCGCAAGCGAAGCUCCUGAUCGAAGCCCCGGUAAACGGCGGCCGUAACUAUAACGGUCCUAAGGUAGCGAAAUUCCUUGUCGGGUAAGUUCCGACCUGCACGAAUGGCGUAAUGAUGGCCAGGCUGUCUCCACCCGAGACUCAGUGAAAUUGAACUCGCUGUGAAGAUGCAGUGUACCCGCGGCAAGACGGAAAGACCCCGUGAACCUUUACUAUAGCUUGACACUGAACAUUGAGCCUUGAUGUGUAGGAUAGGUGGGAGGCUUUGAAGUGUGGACGCCAGUCUGCAUGGAGCCGACCUUGAAAUACCACCCUUUAAUGUUUGAUGUUCUAACGUGGACCCGUAAUCCGGGUUGCGGACAGUGUCUGGUGGGUAGUUUGACUGGGGCGGUCUCCUCCUAAAGAGUAACGGAGGAGCACGAAGGUUGGCUAAUCCUGGUCGGACAUCAGGAGGUUAGUGCAAUGGCAUAAGCCAGCUUGACUGCGAGCGUGACGGCGCGAGCAGGUGCGAAAGCAGGUCAUAGUGAUCCGGUGGUUCUGAAUGGAAGGGCCAUCGCUCAACGGAUAAAAGGUACUCCGGGGAUAACAGGCUGAUACCGCCCAAGAGUUCAUAUCGACGGCGGUGUUUGGCACCUCGAUGUCGGCUCAUCACAUCCUGGGGCUGAAGUAGGUCCCAAGGGUAUGGCUGUUCGCCAUUUAAAGUGGUACGCGAGCUGGGUUUAGAACGUCGUGAGACAGUUCGGUCCCUAUCUGCCGUGGGCGCUGGAGAACUGAGGGGGGCUGCUCCUAGUACGAGAGGACCGGAGUGGACGCAUCACUGGUGUUCGGGUUGUCAUGCCAAUGGCACUGCCCGGUAGCUAAAUGCGGAAGAGAUAAGUGCUGAAAGCAUCUAAGCACGAAACUUGCCCCGAGAUGAGUUCUCCCUGAGACUUAGAGUCUCCUGAAGGAACGUUGAAGACGACGACGUUGAUAGGCCGGGUGUGUAAGCGCAGCGAUGCGUUGAGCUAACCGGUACUAAUGAACCGUGAGGCUUAACCUUACAACGCCGAAG
rnacentral:rRNA from 4 species